AGCUCCAAUAGCGUAUAUUAAAGUUGUUGCAGUUAAAAAGCUCGUAGUUGGAUUUGUGGCUGUCGCAUGCGGCCCGGCAUUCGUGCCGGUGUUUGCUAGCGUCACCAUCCUUGGGUGGAUCCUGUGUGGCAUUAGGUUGUCGUGUAGGGGAUACCCAUCGUUUACUGUGAAAAAAUUAGAGUGUUCAAAGCAGGCUUAGGCCGUUGAAUAUAUUAGCAUGGAAUAAUAAGAUAGGACCUUGGUACUAUUUUGUUGGUUUGCGCACCAAGGUAAUGGUUAAUAGGGACAGUUGGGGGUAUUCGUAUUCCAUUGUCAGAGGUGAAAUUCUUGGAUUUUUGGAAGACGCACUACUGCGAAAGCAUUUACCAAGGAUGUUUUCAUUAAUCAAGAACGAAAGUAG
rnacentral:rRNA from 1 species